GAUGGAGAACGUAGCAAAAUGCGAUAAGUAAUGUGAAUUGCAGAAUUCAGUGAAUCAUCGAAUCUUUGAACGCACAUUGCGCCCGCCAGUAUUCUGGCGGGCAUGCCUGUUCGAGCGUCAUUUCAACCCUCAAGCACAGCUUGGUGUUGGGACUCGCGUUAAUUCGCGUUCCCCAAAUUGAUUGGCGGUCACGUCGAGCUUCCAUAGCGUAGUAGUAAAACCCUCGUUACUGGUAAUCGUCGCGGCCACGCCGUUAAACCCCAACUUCUGAAUGUUGACCUCGGAUCAGGUAGGAAUACCCGCUGAACUUAAGCAUAUCAAUAAGCGGAGGA
rnacentral:misc_RNA from 1 species